AUUGAACGCUGGCGGCACGCCUAACACAUGCAAGUCGAGCGGCAGCGCGAUAUGUAGCAAUACAUAUUGGCGGCGAGCGGCGGACGGGUGAGGAACACGUAGGAACCUACCCUCGAGUGGGGGAUAACCAAGGGAAACUUUGGCUAAUACCGCAUGAACUCGAGAGAGCAAAGCUGCCGCAAGGUGGCGCUCGAGGAGGGGCCUGCGUCCGAUUAGCUAGUUGGUGAGGUAAGAGCUCACCAAGGCGAUGAUCGGUAACUGGUCUGAGAGGACGACCAGUCACACUGGGACUGAGACACGGCCCAGACUCCUACGGGAGGCAGCAGUGGGGAAUAUUGGACAAUGGGGGCAACCCUGAUCCAGCGAUGCCGCGUGAGUGAAGAAGGCCUUCGGGUCGUAAAGCUCUUUAGGUUGGGAAGAAGGGUGAUGGAGGAAAUGCUAUCACUUUGACGGUACCGACAGAAUAAGCACCGGCAAACUCUGUGCCAGCCGCCGCAGUAAAAC
rnacentral:rRNA from 1 species